UCCCUGGUGUUCCAGUGGUUAAGACUCUGCACUGCCAAUGCAGCGGGCACAGGUUCAAUCCCUGGUCGGGGAG